rfam:Salpingoeca sp. ATCC 50818 unplaced genomic scaffold supercont1.12, whole genome shotgun sequence.
UCUCCAAUAGUAUAGUGGCUAGUAUCUCCGCCUGUCACGCGGAAGACCAGGGUUCGAUUCCCUGUUGGAGAG